rnacentral:lncRNA from 1 species
GUUCAUGAAAACUUAAAGAGGAUAAAUCUUUAGACUCUUCAAUCGCAGCAACAACAUGAUCCUAUUUUGCAGGAAGACUACGUAAUAUUUUUUCGACAAUUUUCUUCUCUUUAAUUUCAUCUACCUAACUUUUAAUUUGAUUAACUAGUGCGGUAACUCUAUCAAAAAAUACCUUCAUUGAUUAAUCAUUCUUCAUUGAUAUAUUAUUAAAUUCUCUCCAUAAAGAUUGAAGUUUGAUAAAGAUUACCUUAGAGGAGCCUUGAAAUUCCUUUUGAAGAAUAUCCCAAG